UCCGUGAUUGUGCUCUAUGUGAUUAAUAAUAAUACCUUUUCGUGACACAAUUUACUGAAAAAGACGGCGGAACCGUAUCAUUACUAUGAUUAGUGAACAACCAGUGGUUUACGACAAGGCGGUGCGAAGAGUCCUGACCACCCGUUAAGGGAACCAAAGCAUUUGAUAAGGUUUUAGCUGAUGCCCAGACACCAGACGAAAAGUGGAAACUUUACAACGUCCAAUUGAUUAGAGAGAAAUUCUUCAAGGGGUUUUAAUCGCAUAAUCACGAUUUUACAUACAUACAUACUAUCACGCCUGUAUUCCAUGAAGGGGUAAGCAGAGCACAUGAAACUUCUCAAGUUUCAGUGCCACUCAUGGCAAAUAAGGGGCUGAAAGAAAACGAAACUGUGACACGAUUUUAUUUUCAUAAAAUGACUGAGGACCCCUUCCAUUGAUAUGAAUGCACGGAACCACAAGCCGGCUUCUUUUCUGCGUUGGGGUCCUCAGAUUUGGAGGUUACGUUCUGAUGCUUUCCGAGCUUGGACUAGUGGACAGGAGGCUGUAGCGACCGGUAUGGAAGAGCUCCCAUUCCCGUAGCUGCAGCUUCCACCUCCCCUAAAUUCGGUUACUCAUGAUAGUCGUCAAUCUCAGCCAAACAUUGCCCAAGAAACCGCUUCAAUAGCAGAAAGGACCCUCUCAUUACUGACUGUAGCAGAUGAGCUUCCCAUCUUGACAAACAGUGACAACAGACUGCAAGAUUUGGCAGAAGACGGCGACGGAC